AGGAUAUAUGGGGGCUGGACAAAAAUCAAGCGCACAGAAGGCGGCCAAGUAUGCAGCCAUGCAGAGCUUCCUUGGAGCUGGAGCCUACAGAGGCGCUGGCUGUCAGAGUAAAUAUUGUGGCCGAAGGAGGAAGUGAGAGAGGGGCGGACAGGAUGUGACCUCAUUGCAACAACAGCGGUGCUAGACUGAUUCCAUGAUCCCAGGCUGUACACGUCCUACCUUGAAUUGGAGCCAGAGCUUCAGCACAUCAUGAAGAUGUCAUCAGUUUAGAGCCAUGGUUCUCAUCGUGUUGGCGUCAUGAUUCCUUCAAGACUUGAGGGAUCCUGACAUCCAUGCUGAGAACCACGGGAAUGAAGACUAAACAUUUCUUUUUGGAACAUGUAUGAAGUACUGCUGAUACUAGCCUUAUACCAACUGGGCUUGGAAGCAAUGAUGUGCUGAAGACUCGGCCUACAUUUGACACUGCUGAUGAGGAACAACACACAGUGUGAGAUGAUAAUGUAACAUACAAAACACACUAAAUGUGAGGUGAAAAUAUUACCUACUACAACACCACCAGAGGAGCCUCCAUCCAUGACUGUGUGUAUUUGCUGUCUACUGUGCAUCACUGUACUAGUCUUUAAAUUAUACUGACAACUAAGCUUGUUAUCUAUUUAGUCAAGUGUUACAAUUGUGUAUUAUUUUGUGUUACGCUCUACACAAGUGCAUCGUUUGUUUCCUACAUUGUUGACGAAUGCGUGUUUCAUCACAGCGCUGUGUGUGCACUUUUUUUUCGGGAGAAAAUGAAUCUCAUCUUGCACUCAAGUCGUGACUUCAUCAUGUAGCUGAUUUUUAAUUUACAUAUGUGGCCAAUGAGCAAAACACUUCCUGAUAGUGCUUUUCAA